rnacentral:rRNA from 1 species
GGUUUCGGUUGACCAGGAGCUCGAGGCCGGGAUGUUCACAACCCUUUGUUGUCCGACUCUGUUGCCUCCGGGGCGACCCUGCCUCCGGGCGGGGGCCCCGGGUGGACAUUUCAAACUCUUGCGUAACUUUGCAGUCUGAGUAAAUUUAAUUAAUAAAUUAAAACUUUCAACAACGGAUCUCUUGGUUCUGGCAUCGAUGAAGAACGCAGCGAAAUGCGAUAAGUAAUGUGAAUUGCAGAAUUCAGUGAAUCAUCGAAUCUUUGAACGCACAUUGCGCCCCCUGGUAUUCCGGGGGGCAUGCCUGUUCGAGCGUCAUUUCACCACUCAAGCCUCGCUUGGUAUUGGGCGACGCGGUCCGCCGCGCGCCUCAAAUCGACCGGCUGGGUCUUUCGUCCCCUCAGCGUUGUGGAAACUAUUCGCUAAAGGGUGCCGCGGGAGGCCACGCCGUAAAACAACCCCAUUUCUAAGGUUGACCUCGGAUCAGGUAGGGAUACCCGCUGAACUUAAGCAUAUCAAAAGGCGGGAGGAA